rnacentral:rRNA from 1 species
UACAGAGGGUGCGAGCGUUGUCCGGAUUUAUUGGGCGUAAAGAGCGUGUAGGCGGCCAGAUAGGUCCGUUGUGAAAACUGGAGGCUUAACCUCCAGCGGUCGAUGGAAACCAUCUGGCUAGAGUCCGGAAGAGGAGAGUGGAAUUCCUGGUGGUAGCGGUGAAAUGACGCAGAUAUCAGGAAGAACACCCGUGGCGAAGGCGGCUCUCUGGGACGGUACUGACGCUGAGACGCGAAAGCGUGGGGAGCGAACAGG